GGUCGAGUGGUGUAGUGGUUAUCACGUCUGCCUCACAACGUAUGGUUCAUACUUGGACGCAGAAGGUCUCGAGUUCAAUCCUCGGUUCGACCU
rnacentral:tRNA from 2 species